CGGGGCGUGGCUCAGCUUGGUAGAGUGCUGCAUUGGGGUUGCAGAGGUCGCUGGUUCAAAUCCAGUCGCUCCGA
rnacentral:tRNA from 3 species